rnacentral:rRNA from 1 species
GACAGAGGGUGCGAACGUUGCUCGGAAUUACUGGGCGUAAAGCGCGUGCAGGCGGCCCUGCACGUCCGGUGUGAAAGCCCGGGGCUCAACCCCGAAGCGCGCUGGAAACGACGGGCUGGAGGGCUGGAGAGGCGGGCGGAAUUCCCGGUGUAGAGGUGAAAUUCGUAGAUAUCGGGAGGAACACCGGUGGCGAAAGGCGGCCCGCUGGACAGCGCCUGACGCUGAGACGCGAAAGCGUGGGUAGGCAAACAGG